rfam:Gossypium hirsutum cultivar TM-1 chromosome 15, whole genome shotgun sequence
CAUUGAAAUUAGUAGUCUAAUUGGUAUAGCUGAACAAAAAAGAUUUUAUCAGCCGUAUCAAAUUUGGAUUAUUAAAAAGAUGA